rnacentral:rRNA from 1 species
CUACUGCGAAAGCAUUUGCCAAGGAUGUUUUCAUUAAUCAAGAACGAAAGUUAGGGGAUCGAAGACGAUUAGAUACCGUCGUAGUCUUAACCAUAAACUAUGCCGACUAGGGAUCGGGCGCGGUUCAACGACUCGCUCGGCACCUUAAGAGAAAUCAAAGUUUUUGGGUUCUGGGGGGAGUAUGGUCGCAAGGCUGAAACUUAAAGGAAUUGACGGAAGGGCACCACCAGGAGUGGAGCCUGCGGCUUAAUUUGACUCAACACGGGGAAACUUACCAGGUCCAGACACAGUGAGGAUUGACAGAUUGAGAGCUCUUUCUUGAUUCUGUGAUUGGUGGUGCAUGGCCGUUCUUAGUUGGUGGAGUGAUUUGUCUGCCUAAUCGCGAUAACGAACGAGACCCUUACCUGCUAAAUAGUCGACCCGGCCUUGGCUGGGACCGCUUUUGGGUUGCGACUUCUUAGAGGGACUGGAGGCUGCAAGCCUCAGGAGGCCGGGGGCAAUAACAGGUCUGUGGUGCCCUUAGAUGUUCUGGGCCGCACGCGCG